CGCCCCCGUCCUCCUCCCCAGAUCGUGGCGCAGCCCCAUAUGCCCGCCUUGCACAUCGCCACCCACCGGCUUCUCCGCGCCCGCCGUGUCCUCCCGAUAUGCCAGCCCUGCACAUCGCCCCCGCCGGUUGCCCCCGCCCCCGCCGGAUCAAGCAGCACGCCACCCCGCAGGGGGACGCGACGCAGCGCCUGGCGCACUGCUUCGCCGAGGACCUGCAGGCCCGGUUCGCUGGCACUGUCAGCAUGGUGUACCAGUCGCUCAUGGCGAAGCGCACCUCGGCUGUGGCGUUCCUCCAAGCGUACCUGCUGUGCAUGGCCGCCAUCUGCUGCAAGAAAGUGGUCUUCAUAUUCUCAAAUCACACGAUCUACAAUGCCUCCCUGGGUUCAAAAACAGAUCUGCCAAUUGGUCAGCUGUGACAGAUACAACUUUUUGUUCGACUGCAACAUGCCCCAACAUCUAUUCCAGUUGAUCCCAAGGGAUUGCAACUGCUGGUGGAGUACCUGAAUGAAGCCUAUGGGAACUUUCCCAUUUACUUCCAAGAGGUUUUGCAACCAGCAAUGGCAGCCUCCACGACGCUGACAGGGCCGAUUACUUGAAGAGACACAUAGAGAACACACUGACUGCACUAAGGAAUGGAGCCAAUGUGAAUGGCUACUUCGCCUGGUGCUUCUUGGACGUCUUCGAGUACCUGACAGGGUUCAACUCGUGAUACGGCCUGUACCACGUCGACUUCCACGAGAGGCCCUGCCAAGGUAAGCCAGGCUCUCUGCCGCUGGUACUCCAAUUUCUAAAGAACAAGGAGAUCCGUGUAGAGAAUGAGCUUAACGAUGCAGGAACUCACGCUCAGCAAUGAGUUACCUAGGGUAAGAGCAGGUAAGAACAGAUAUAGACCUAUCACUGUUCUUUGUGAUGAAUUAAUUGGUCUCCAGUUCUUUGAUUUUAUCAAGUGACCAGGAUUGGAGAGCCAUGCUAGCUGAGUUGGACUUGUUUAUCUUAUGUAUUAGUAAACAUUGUGCCUACAUUGAAAAGAAAACAAUAACCUGCAGUCACCUGUGAUACAAAAUUGGAAAUGUAGGACAUUAUAUUUAUUAUUAAAGUAGAUUUGUAGUGAAAUUUGUAUCCAAACUAUCGAGCAAGUGUUGUACUGUUUGUAAUACAUACAAUGAGAGUUAAAAAAUGAUGUUCUAUGUCAAUUGGAUUAUUAUGACCACAACAUUUUUUUCUUGGUUGUUCUGUUUAAAUACUCCUUGCCUAUAGGUAAAGUUCAGUUUUAUUUUGACUAUUAAUUCAUGGUUCUUACAGGGAAGGACUUCACAUAUUUUCAUGUGUAUCUCUUUAGCCGAUAUUUCUUAUAUAUUAUUACAAUUCAAUAUAAAAUUCCAUCCGCAUGUUAGUUCUGGAAGCUACAAUAUCUUCAGAAGAAUGUAUGGAAGGGCUUUUACUUUUAAUUGCAGGUUUAUAAGAUAUAAAAGUUCGCCGCAGAAAGCAUGCUGGAUUCUAACUGUUUAGUUUGUAUGGGCUGCUGGGGAGCUGGCAGGAAAGGUGCCCUUGUCAAAAGCUCUGGCUGUUGUCUCAAGCAUUUAUUUUUGGUUGUUGUCUACCAGGAUGUUACCUUACUUCAUUCUUGGUCAUAUAGAACUGUGAACCUAACAAUGUGCAAAAUAUUAUGUGAUAAACUUACAGUUGUGUUGUCUCACAAUUGUAGAAGUUAUCCAGGAUGAGAGUUUCCUAUGCGGUGGCCAUGGUCGCGGAGUUUGAUGAAUACACCAGUGAUCGGCUUUACCUCCAUGAAGGUCGAAGGGCAGUUGUUCAAAAUAUUGUGUUUCCCUUCACUGUUUGAUCUCAACAUACUGAUAUACUUCAUUUGCUGCUUUGUUACUCUCCAGUUGUUUCGAUUUUUUUGGUUAACAUGUAGUCCUUCCUACUCUGCAGAAAGUUAUCCUACCGAAGAGAAAGUGGAGCCAACUGCCUGAUCCGGAGCUUCUUGCGAAGAACUGCAAUCUAGCGAUGGCUAAACAUGAUGAUUCUCUCUCCUCAAUUGUUGUUGCAAAGAAUUGGAGCAGGAACAAGUGAGAAACAUGCUUCUUUUUUAAUGUAUGGACAACAUGAUUCUGAUGCCCCAAGGCGGAUGCCAACAUACCCUUGUUCAACAAUAGUGAAGAUGUAAAGAAGAAACUCUUGAUCAUUUGUAAACGUGUUUGUUUAUCUCCAGGGAUGGUGCUGAUGUUCUGAAACCACUUCAAAUCUCGAGGAAGUCACCACAAACUGCUGGCAAGUCAAAUGUGGUUGGACGGUGCUCAAAAUCGAACAUGACAGUGCUCUGUCUCACUUCACCUCUGCUGAUCCUGAAGCAAAUAAUAAGUUCACUAAGAGUUCUUACAGAUGGUAUUCCCUGUGCAAGUGGCAGUCAUUCAGGUGAUGAUGUAUGAGAAGGUCAUUCAGGUGAUGAUGUGUGAGAAGGCAUUUGCAAUACCGUUGUAUGGUAUUUAUUUCCAUCAAGUUGGGAUGGGUGGACGGCGCGCGAGGGAGCGGACGUGGGACAUUGGUUCGAUUAGAUCGGUCUGUUGGGAUAUCACCUUGUGUAGAACAAGGACGAUUUAAUGGGCUAGGCCAGAUGGCAUGAACCGCCAAUUUUGAACAGGCCUGACUAAGGU